UAUAAGGGAUUUUCUUUCUAAAGUAAAAAAAUCUGAAAACAAAGCAAAGGAUAGUUAAAACAUGUUGAAUUAAAUUAUUACAAUGAAACACAUGAAAUACAUUAAAAUAUGGAGUCUUCAUCUGUGUCUUAAACUAAGUAGACCCCAAACUAUUUAAAUUCUUCACAGAGGAUCUUAUUGUUCCAAGUUCCCCCACAAGUACCAUCACAGCACAGGUACCAUCACAGGUACCAUCACAGGUACCAUCACAGCACAGGUACCAUCACAGCACAGGUACCAUCACAGGUACCAUCAGAGCACAGGUACCAUCACAGGUACUAUCACAGCACAGGUACCAUCAGAGCACAGGUACCAUCACAGGUACCAUCACAGGAGUAUGAAUCCAAUAACAGGCCACUGACGUUAGCACUUUGAAUAUAAUGGUAUCAAUUCAGACAGACACAGACAGUCAGUCAGUCAGAUAGUCAGCCAGCCAGUCAGAUAG
rnacentral:lncRNA from 13 species